CACGUAGGGCGCAAGCGUUGUCCGGAAUCAUUGGGCGUAAAGCGCGUGUAGGCGGUUCGGUAAGUCUGCCGUGAAAGUCCGGGGCUCAACUCCGGAUCUGCGGUGGGUACGGGCAGACUAGAGUGAUGUAGGGGAGACUGGAAUUCCUGGUGUAGCGGUGAAAUGCGCAGAUAUCAGGAGGAACACCGAUGGCGAAGGCAGGUCUCUGGGCAUUAACUGACGCUGAGGAGCGAAAGCAUGGGGAGCGAACAGG
rnacentral:rRNA from 1 species